rnacentral:rRNA from 1 species
GAUGAACGCUGGCGGCGUGCCUAAUACAUGCCAGUCGAGCGAACAGACGAGGAGCUUGCUCCUUCGACGUUAGCGGCGGACGGGUGAGUAACACGUAGGUAACCUACCUAUAAGACUGGGAUAACUUCGGGAAACCGGAGCUAAUACCGGAUAAUAUUUCGAACCGCAUGGUUCGAUAGUGAAAGAUGGCUUUGCUAUCACUUAUAGAUGGACCUGCGCCGUAUUAGCUAGUUGGUAAGGUAACGGCUUACCAAGGCAACGAUACGUAGCCGACCUGAGAGGGUGAUCGGCCACACUGGAACUGAGACACGGUCCAGACUCCUAUGGGAGGCAGCAGUAGGGAAUCUUCCGCAAUGGGCGAAAGCCUGACGGAGCAACGCCGCGUGAGUGAUGAAGGUCUUCGGAUCGUAAAACUCUGUUAUUAGGGAAGAACAAACGUGUAAGUAACUGUGCACGUCUUGACGGUACCUAAUCAGAAAGCCACGGCUAACUACGUG